rnacentral:rRNA from 1 species
GUAAGCAUAUCAAUAAGCGGAGGAAAAGAAACCAACCGGGAUUGCCUUAGUAACGGCGAGUGAAGCGGCAAAAGCUCAAAUUUGAAAUCUGGUACCUUCGGUGCCCGAGUUGUAAUUUGUAGAAGGUAACUUUGGGGCUGGUCCUUGUCUAUGUUCCUUGGAACAGGACGUCAUAGAGGGUGAGAAUCCCGUGUGGCGAGGAUCCCAGUUCUAUGUAAAGUGCUUUCGAAGAGUCGAGUUGUUUGGGAAUGCAGCUCUAAGUGGGUGGUAAAUUCCAUCUAAAGCUAAAUAUUGGCGAGAGACCGAUAGCGAACAAGUACAGUGAUGGAAAGAUGAAAAGAACUUUGAAAAGAGAGUGAAAAAGUACGUGAAAUUGUUGAAAGGGAAGGGCAUUUGAUCAGACAUGGUGUUUUGCGCCCUCUGCUCCUUGUGGGUGGGGGAAUCUCGCAGCUCACUGGGCCAGCAUCAGUUUUGGCGGUAGGAUAAAUCUGCAGGAAUGUAGCUUGCUUCGGCAAGUGUUAUAGCCUGUUGAAAUACUGCCAGCCGGGACUGAGGACUGCGACUUUUAGUCAAGGAUGCUGGCAUAAUGGUUAUAUGCCGCCCGUC